rnacentral:rRNA from 1 species
CCCUUAGAUGUUCUGGGCCGCACCCGCGCUACACUGAUGCAUUCAACGAGUCUAAAACCUGGUCUGAGAGGGCUGGGUAAUCUUUUGAAAGUGCAUCGUGAUUGGGAUAGAUGAUUGCAAUUCUUCAUCUUCAACGAGGAAUGCCUAGUAAACGCAAGUCAUCAGCUUGCAUUGAUUACGUCCCUGCCCUUUGUACACACCGCCCGUCGCUCCUACCGAUUGAACGAUCCGAUGAAAACUGUGGAUUGAGAGUCUGAGUGGGUUCGCCUACCUCAACUUUCGAGAAGCGGUUUAAAUCUUAUCGUUUAGAGGAAGGAGAAGUCGUAACA